GCCUUCGUGGUGUAGUGAUCAGCACGCUCGACGCGUAACCGAGAUGUCCGUGGUUCGAUUCCCGGCGAGUCCG
rnacentral:tRNA from 1 species